GGCGAACGGGUGAGUAACACGUGGGUAACCUGCCCCCGACUUCGGGAUAAGCCCGGGAAACCGGGUCUAAUACCGGAUACGACCUUCCGCCGCAUGGCGGGGGGUGGAAAGGAUUCCGGUCGGGGAUGGACUCGCGGCCUAUCAGCUGGUUGGCGGGGUAACGGCCCACCAAGGCGACGACGGGUAGCCGGCCUGAGAGGGUGGACGGCCACACUGGGACUGAGACACGGCCCAGACUCCUACGGGAGGCAGCAGUGGGGAAUAUUGCACAAUGGGCGCAAGCCUGAUGCAGCGACGCCGCGUGAGGGAUGACGGCCUUCGGGUUGUAAACCUCUUUCGGCAGGGAAGAAGCGGAAGUGACGGUACCUGCGGAAGAAGCGCCGGCUAACUACGUGCCAGCAGCCGCGGUAAUACGUAGGGCGCAAGCGUUGUCCGGAAUUAUUGGGCGUAAAGAGCUCGUAGGCGGUUUGCCGCGUCUGCCGUGAAAGCCCGGGGCUCAACCCCGGGUCUGCGGUGGGUACGGGCAGACUGGAGUGCAGUAGGGGAGACCGGAAUUCCUGGUGUAGCGGUGAAAUGCGCAGAUAUCAGGAGGAACACCGAUGGCGAAGGCAGGUCUCUGGGCUGUAACUGACGCUGAGGAGCGAAAGCAUGGGGAGCGAACAGGAUUAGAUACCCUGGUAGUCCAUGCCGUAAACGUUGGGCACUAGGUGUGGGGGGCAUUCCACGUCCUCCGCGCCGCAGCUAACGCAUUAAGUGCCCCGCCUGGGGAGUACGGCCGCAAGGCUAAAACUCAAAGGAAUUGACGGGGGCCCGCACAAGCGGCGGAGCAUGCGGAUUAAUUCGAUGCAACGCGAAGAACCUUACCAAGGCUUGACAUGGGCCGGACCGCCGCAGAGAUGCGGCUUCCCUUCGGGGCCGGUUCACAGGUGGUGCAUGGUUGUCGUCAGCUCGUGUCGUGAGAUGUUGGGUUAAGUCCCGCAACGAGCGCAACCCCCGUUCCAUGUUGCCAGCGGGUUAUGCCGGGGACUCAUGGGAGACUGCCGGGGUCAACUCGGAGGAAGGUGGGGACGACGUCAAAUCAUCAUGCCCCUUAUGUCUUGGGCUUCACGCAUGCUACAAUGGCCGGUACAAAGGGUUGCGAUACUGUGAGGUGGAGCCAAUCCCAAAAAGCCGGUCUCAGUUCGGAUUGGGGUCUGCAACCCGACCCCAUGAAGUCGGAGUCGCUAGUAAUCGCAGAUCAGCAACGCUGCGGUGAAUACG
rnacentral:rRNA from 1 species